CCUGCGUUUGCUUUUUUUGUUGAUCAGAAGUCUUGAUAGAUAACCAGCCAAUGUCAGCACUGGGAGCAUGUAACCAAGGGUUUUUCUCCUGCAGCCUGCAUGUAACCAAGGGUUUUUCUCCUGCAGCCUGCAUGUAACCAAGGGUUUUUCUCCUGCAGCCUGGAUGUAACCAAGGGUUUUUCUCCUGCAGCCUGCAUGUAACCAAGGGGUUUUUCUCCUGCAGCCUGGAUGUAACCAAGGGUUUUUCUCCUGCAGCCUGGAUGUAACCAAGGGUUUUUCUCCUGCAGCCUGCAUGUAACCAAGGGUUUUUCUCCUGCAGCCUGGAUGUAACCAAGGGUUUUUCUCCUGCAGCCUGCAUGUAACCAAGGGUUUUUCUCCUGCAGCCUGGAUGUAACCAAGGGUUUUUCUCCUGCAGCCUGGAUGUAACCAAGGGUUUUUCUCCUGCAGCCUGGAUGUAACCAAGGGUUUUUCUCCUGCAGCCUGUGCUUCCUUGCGGCUGUACACCACACCAUGAUCAAGUCCCUUUACGGUCCUCACAAAAUGAUGAAACUAUGUACACAGUAUGUACAUAGAUACACAAAUACUAGCUGACAUUUAACCUUACAGUAAUGGACAUUUCAAGAGUAGUCAGUGAAGAAGAUGGUUUGGAAGGCAAAGUAGGUUCCAAGCCCCACAGUUGAAGAGGUACAGAACUUGAUUGCGUCUUGGGUCAUCAUGUCUUCUAAUCCACAAUUAAAUGCCACCUCCAUUCCAAUAGCCUUUUUCUAAGGGUUGUCAGAAUAAAAGCAUUUAUUGAUAGCAAACCAUCUAAGUGUCUGGAGUUUGCUGAGUGACAUUUGUACUUGGAUCGGAACCGAGUGUUAUGGUCAGAGAAACAUGAAAAUAGAGAUCUUUGGCAUUGCAUACCAGCACUUAGUCUGGCAUUUAAAAUUGUUUAUGCAGAAAAUGUUUAUGCUGAAAACAACAGUGAACCAAAUGCAAAAUACAGUGGUGGAUCUUUGAUGUUAUGGGGCUGUUUCACUUCCUCUGGUCCUGGGGCCUUUGUUAAGCUCAACAGCAUCAUUAACUCUAUCCAGUGCCAGGACAUUUUAACCAAAAACCUGGUUGCCUUUGCUAGGAGGCUGGAACUUGGCAGCAGAUGGUACAUACAAUGACUGCAGAGCUUUAUUUUAAUGUCUUUGGACUUGCAACUACACAAGAACUGGAGGAAAAUAAACAGCCGAAAAUCACAGGGAAGAUGCUGAAUCUACUGAAUGUGAAUAUGGCGACAAUAACAAACUAUUUUGCAAAUGCUCAUUUCAAAUAACAUAAA
ensembl:lncRNA